AGAGUUUGAUCCUGGCUCAGAUUGAACGCUGGCGGCAUGCCUUACACAUACAAGUCGAACGGUAGAGGGGCAACCCUUGAGAGUGGCGAACGGGUGAGUAAUGCAUCGGAACGUGCCCAGUCNUGGGGGAUAACGCAGCGAAAGCUGUGCUAAUACCGCAUGUGAUCUGUGGAUGAAAGCAGGGGACUUGGUAGCAAUACUGGGCCUUGUGCGAUUGGAGCGGCCGAUGUCAGAUUAGCUAGUUGGUAGGGUAAAAGCCUACCAAGGCGACGAUCUGUAGCUGGUCUGAGAGGACGACCAGCCACACUGGGACUGAGACACGACCCAGACUCCUACGGGAGGCAGCAGUGGGGAAUUUUGGACAAUGGGCGCAAGCCUGAUCCAGCAAUGCCGCGUGCAGGACGAAGGCCUUCGGGUUGUAAACUGCUUUUGUACGGAGCGAAACGGUCUGGGUUAAUACCCUAGGCUAAUGACGGUACCGUAAGAAUAAGCACCGGCUAACUACGUGCCAGCCGCCGCGGUAAUAC
rnacentral:rRNA from 1 species